UNGGAAAAGGCUGGCACUCUGGUUUGG
rnacentral:piRNA from 1 species